UCAGUCUACUGAGAGUGCUGGUAGCGUGAAGACGCAGUCUGUCCCAGUGCGUGCGCUGGGACGCUACCUCCCCGGCAGGGGACAGUAAGGAGAGGAAUCCCUGCACGGAAAGUGAAGCCACGUGCAGACGACCAAACGACGCUGGCUUUUCGCAUCGGAGCAGAGGAAGAUCGCAGCGAUGCCGGAUCAGCUGAAGUUUGAAACUAACAAGGAGACGCUAAACCACCAGAGGCCGGAGACAGCGUCAGCUAAGACGCGUCUCCGACAUCGAUACAGGCGGCGGGAAUUUUCCCAGCUGGAGCAGUAGCAGUAGCAGACUUAUCACAGAUACCAGGGGCGACAACACUAACGCUAAGAUCAACAGGGCAGGAGAACGUUUCAAUCGAUUCGCAAGAAUAACGUUGUCGCGAUCGCUUUUAUUAAUGCAUACCCUAUAAACUUGCCGCGAGAAAAAAAUAUUUAACUAUUCAAAGCAAAAGGCUAGUCAUAGCCGCUACUACAGUAGAGGAGUAUGCGUCAACAUAUUCCUAUGCUGUUUGAUUGUAGCAACCGUUGCGUUGGUUGUUGUGCAACUAUUCAGCUUGGUCGGGCAUCAUUGAAACCAUGAAAUUCUAUCACUGGGAUCACGAUUUCAUGGGAUCACAUUUUCAAUGAUCGGCAGGGCCCUUCCAAGUGAAUCGAGGACAACUACCGCAGUUAGCGAGUUGCCACCAAAUCUUCCUGAGAAGCGUCGGGCUAGCUUGGCAGUUACAAUUUUGGAACUUCUAUAUAUAUGAAUCAAGUGGUCCUCAUUUACACUCGCGAGUAAGGUUUACCUAACGCCACUUGUUGAUAACAGUUUUGCGCCUCUCAUGUAGAUCUAGACGGCACUGCCAGAGAGAGAGGGAACUGUAUUUGAGUAGUACGGCUAUGGAUCCACUAGGUGGCUACCCGUAACACCAAAGCAAAACUGGUUCUCGAGGAGAUAUAAACGAGCAGCAAGUUAUCACCAAUUUUUCCAAAAAGCAUCGUACUACCGACGGCUCUAAUUUUUGAACUUUUAUAUAAAUCACCCAAGUGCGAAUCUUUCACCUUUGUCUUUAGAUGAAUGUUGGUCUACAUAACAAAAUAAAUCAAUAAAUAAAUAAAAACCA